UCAUCAACAAAAACCAUUGUAUUGUAGUAAUCCUGACCAAGGUUGUUGAAGUAAUUAACAUUCUGACUCAGAUUUGGCUGUGCUGAAUUCAGGAUUGCCUUGGCAACUGGUUUCAUUGAGUUCACGGCACGCUUUGGAGACGCACGUGGAGAUUCAUCUGGGAAGUUCACCUUGGCUUUCUUGCCACGAAUUCUCCGUGCCUCAGCAUCAUAAGCUCUUGCAGCUUCUUCAGCAGUGUUAAAAGUACCUAACCAGACCCUGACCCCCUUCCUUGGGUCACGGAUUUCAGCAGCCC
rnacentral:lncRNA from 1 species